rnacentral:rRNA from 1 species
CUACGUAGGGGGCGAGCGUUGUCCGGAAUGAUUGGGCGUAAAGGGCGCGUAGGCGGCCGCUUAAGUCUGGAGUGAAAGUCCUGUUUUCAAGAUGGGAAUUGCUUUGGAUACUGGAUGACUUGAGUGCGGAAGAGGUAAGUGGAAUUCCCAGUGUAGCGGUGAAAUGCGUAGAGAUUGGGAGGAACACCAGUGGCGAAGGCGACUUACUGGGCCGUAACUGACGCUGAGGCGCGAAAGCGUGGGGAGCGAACAGGAUUAGAUACCCUGGUAGUCCACGCGGUAAACGAUGAAUGCUAGGUGUUGCGGGUAUCGACCCCUGCAGUGCCGGAGUAAACACAAUAAGCAUUCCGCCUGGGGAGUACGGCCGCAAGGUUGAAACUCAAAGGAAUUGACGGGG